rnacentral:rRNA from 1 species
GGAUGAACGCUGGCGGCGUGCUUAAUACAUGCAAGUCGAACGGAGACAGUAGCAAUAUUGUCUUAGUGGCGAACGGGUGAGUAACGCGUUGGUGACCUGCCUCGAAGAGAGGGAUAACAGUUCGAAAGGAUUGCUAAUACCUCAUGUGGUUAUUUGGGUUAGAGACCUUAUAACUAAACGGAUUUAUUCGCUUCGAGAGGGGCCUGCGUCCCAUCAGCUAGUUGGUAAGGUAACGGCCUACCAAGGCGAUGACGGGUAGGGGACCUGAGAGGGUGGCCCCCCACAAUGGAACUGAAACACGGUCCAUACACCUACGGGUGGCAGCAGUAGGGAAUAUUGGUUAAUGUGGGAAACCGCGAACCAGCAACGCCGCGUGCGCGAUGAAGGCCUUCGGGUUGUAAAGCGCUUUUAGAGAGGAUGAGGAAGGACAGUACUCUCUGAAUAAGCCUC